CAAAACCCUUACUCGAAUCUUCUUUUUCUCUCUCGCCUCUCUCUCUCUCUCUCUUUACCAAAGACAAAAGAGAUAUGUAAGAUCUGUUUUUAUAUUCUGGAUUGCUGCAGUACAUUGAGAUUUGUCUCUCUCGACAAUAUGAAUUGAGCUAAAAUGGAAUAAUCAUAGUUGCAGUGAAUGUGUUUCUGAUUCUGAAAAUAUACGUUUCUCAUGUUCACUGCUGCUACGUAUCUCUCUGCCGGAAGUGAGCUUCUUCUCGAGAUCCUUGGCCUUGGAACUGUCGGUGGUUUGUUCCUUCCCCUGCUCGGCGCGCUUCCCCACGCUAUGCUUAUCAUGGGUGGCAGAUUUGGUGGUCUCCUUAUGUGAGACACUGGGUGAUUCUUCAUCUAUGAAGUGUUUGGCUGAGACACCAAAGAAAAAAGAACAAAUAUGACUGAGAUGUUGGGUGCUACCCAUUACUCCAUCAAAGUGGCCCAGGUAAACGAUUGUUAAACCUUAUCUCUCUCCCAAGCUUCGAUUACAAACGAUUGUUAAAUCUUAUCCUCCCCGUCUGAUUGAUACUGUUUGAUUAUUAUGAAUUUCCCCGUAAAAGUCUUUAUGUUUUGGUUAUUUCUAUUUUUCUUUGUUUGUAUGAAAUCUGGAUUUUAGCAUUAUCAUUUAGUAGCCAUAGAAUCUGCAAUAAGACUUUAUCAAGUGUCUUUUAAUUUGAAUGUUGCAAGGUUUUUCAGCUGAGGAAAGAGAGAGAUGUAAAAGAAGAUAUUACUUCAUAUGAGAGUUUCAAAUUAAGGAGAUUAAGAUUGGAAUCAACGGUGAGUUUCUGUUCAUGAUGAAAUUCAAUUAGUGAUGUGAAUCUCUUUAGUGAGUUUAGCAACCAUUGCCUCGCUUGACGAUUAGAUGGGUCAAAGCAAGAAGCUAAACAUAGGAACAAACAACUGUGGUGAAUGAGAAGUUGAGAUAGCGACGAGCGUUAUCAAGUGAGGGAGAUAACCAAAUCUGCUUUAGCAGCUGCUGAAGAGACUGCAAUUAGCGCAAGAACAGCUUUAAUGGCAAACCCUUAUGUGUCAAGUGGAGCUUCAUGGUUUUCAAACGCGUUUGGUGCAGUGACAAAAACGUUUAAAGAGAGAGCUGAGAAUGGAGGAGAAGGAAGAAAGGAGAUCAUCCAACUUGAUCCUUCUUCACCUAAAGUUUCUGUUGUUGUUCCUGUUAAGCUCAGUUGAUGCAGAUCUCACCGAAUCAAGUUUUUUAAGUCCAUUUCAUCUCAAUUCUUUUAUAGGUUUGCUGUUCAUAGAGAUAUAUAUGUGAUUUCAUUUACUAAACAAAAGAUAAAAAGACAAAAACCUUACAAGUUGUUGUUACAUUCAGACAGAACUUUUCUUCUCUCAAAAGAGAUUAUUAGCA